rnacentral:rRNA from 1 species
CCUACGGGUGGCAGCAGUGAGGAAUAUUGGUCAAUGGGCGCGAGCCUGAACCAGCCAAGUAGCGUGAAGGAUGACUGCCCUACGGGUUGUAAACUUCUUUUAUAAAGGAAUAAAGUGAGGCACGUGUGCCUUUUGUAUGUACUUUAUGAAUAAGGAACGGCUAACCUCGUGCCAGCAGCCGCGGUAAUACGGAGGAUUCGAGCGUUAUCCGGAUUUAUUGGGUUUAAAGGGAGCGUAGAUGGGUUGUUAAGUCAGUGGUGAAAGUUUGCGGCUCAACCGUAAAAUUGCAAUUGAUACUGGUAGCCUAGAGUACAGUUGAGGUAGGCGGAAUGCGUGGUGUAGCGGUGAAAUGCUUAGAGAUCACGAAGAACUCCGAUUGCGAAGGCAGCCUACUAAGCUACCUCUGACAUUGAGGCUCGAAAGUGUGGGUAUCAAACAGGAUUAGAUACCCCAGUAGUC